GAUGAACGCUGGCGGCGUGCUUAACACAUGCAAGUCGAACGGAAAGGCCCAAGCUUGCUUGGGUACUCGAGUGGCGAACGGGUAAGUAACACGUGGGUGAUCUGCCCUGCACUUCGGGAUAAGCCUGGGAAACUGGGUCUAAUACCGGAUAGGACCACAUUUUGGAUGGUGUGGUGGAAAGUUUUUCGGUGUGGGAUGAGCUCGCGGCCUAUCAGCUUGUUGGUGGGGUAAUGGCCUACCAAGGCGUCGACGGGUAGCCGGCCCGAGAGGGUGUACGGCCACAUUGGGACUGAGAUACGGCCCAGACUCCUACGGGAGGCAGCAGUGGGGAAUAUUGCACAAUGGGCGCAAGCCUGAUGCAGCGACGCCGCGUGGGGGAUGACGGCCUUCGGGUUGUAAACUCCUUUCGCUAGGGACGAAGCGUUAUGUGACGGUACCUGGAGAAGAAGCACCGGCUAACUACGUG
rnacentral:rRNA from 1 species